AGCAUAAAUUUCUUUGGUCAACGAAUUCUUUCACAGUUGAUUGUACCCCGAUGGAACAAAACAAAAAAUUAUAAUAAUUAUAAUUAAUGGUGGAAUAAUUUAAGAAAGAGAAGAAGAGAACAUAACUAGCGAGAUAAUGGUGUCCGCCGGUCCAAGUAGUUCAUAUCUGGACAUCAACUCACCAAAUCAAAGAAUCAGAUGUUUAAUUGGGAUUGGGGUAACUUAUGAGGCGUUGUUGAUGAUAGAUCCAUGGAUGACCGACGAAAACUGAGACGGAAGCUAGCACGAUGGGUAGUUGUAGCAAUACUAGUUCAGGACUCUCUAUUGAGGUCAAGUUGUGAUUCUCAAUAUAACAGUCUUGGACCCUCACUAGGUCCACUAAAAUACAGUGAAAAAGAGACGGAGUGAAGAAGAGAGAGAG
rnacentral:lncRNA from 1 species